UACGGAGGAUGCAAGCGUUAUCCGGAAUCACUGGGCGUAAAGGGCGCGUAGGCGGCCAUUCAAGUCAGAGGUGAAAGCCCAAGGCUCAACCUUGGAACUGCCUUUGAUACUGUUUGGCUUGAGACCGGUAGAGGUAAGUGGAACUGCGAGUGUAGAGGUGAAAUUCGUAGAUAUUCGCAAGAACACCAGUGGCGAAGGCGGCUUACUGGACCGGUUCUGACGCUGAGGCGCGAAAGCGUGGGGAGCAAACAGG
rnacentral:rRNA from 1 species